rnacentral:rRNA from 1 species
GACGAACGCUGGCGGCGUGCUUAACACAUGCAAGUCGAACGGAAAGGCCCUGCUUUUGUGGGGUGCUCGAGUGGCGAACGGGUGAGUAACACGUGAGUAACCUGCCCUUGACUUUGGGACAACUUCAGGAAACUGGGGCUAAUACCGGAUAGGAGCUCCUGCUGCAUGGUGGGGGUUGGAAAGUUUCGGCGGUUGGGGAUGGACUCGCGGCUUAUCAGCUUGUUGGUGGGGUAGUGGCUUACCAAGGCUUUGACGGGUAGCCGGCCUGAGAGGGUGACCGGCCACAUUGGGACUGAGAUACGGCCCAGACUCCUACGGGAGGCAGCAGGGGGGAAUAUUGCACAAUGGGCGGAAGCCUGAUGCAGCAACGCCGCGUGCGGGAUGACGGCCUUCGGGUUGUAAACCGCUUUCGCCUGUGACGAAGCGUGAGUGACGGUAAUGGGUAAAGAAGCACCGGCUAACUACGUG